UCCCGCGGCUCCAUGACCCGCCUCCCUCCUCCGCGAGGACCCAGGCGUCCCGGCCCCAGGGCAUCCGAGCCCUUUCCCACCUCUCUGGACCUUUGCCCGGACGUCCAGGCCUCUUAACCCAGCAGGUGCUCUCCCCAGGCUCGGGGUCUUGGGAAUCCAGGGCCUGUGAUCUGCACAGCUGGUAGCAGUUGGCAUUUCCUUAGCCAGAGGCAAUAUGCAAGAACACACGUCCAACCACUAAUGUAUGCAGAUACACAUGGGGGCACACAGCCAUGCACACCUAUUCAUGUGUGCCCAGCGUUUCCAAGAAACACAAAGGGACACUGCAGAGAUGCCCCACCAUGAUCAAGCCCAUGUAACCCAGGCUACCUUCAAGUCUGCUAUGGAAUUGAAAGUGACCUGGAGCUUCCGGUCCUUUCUACCUCCCCGGUGCUGGGAUGGCAGAAGUGUGUCCGCCUGCGCAUUAGUCAUGGUUAGGAAUAAAACCCAGGGCUUCAAGCAUGCUUGGCAGAUGUUCUGCCAACUGAGACACAGCCCCAGUCCCCAAACCACAUAGUUUUGAAAUACAGGUCACAUUUAAAAAUAAAUCAACCUGGGAUGGACGGUAAA